rnacentral:rRNA from 1 species
GACGAACGCUGGCGGCGUGCUUAACACAUGCAAGUCGAACGGAAAGGCCUGCUUUCCCUUGUGGAUUGCGGGUACUCGAGUGGCGAACGGGUGAGUAACACGUGAGUGAUCUGCCCCCAACUUGGGUAUAAGCCUGGGAAACUGGGUCUAAUUCCCGAUAGGACUGCAGGGUGGUGCCUGUGGUGGAAAACGAUUUUCUAGUGGUUGGGGAUGAGCUCGCGGCCUAUCAGCUUGUUGGUGGGGUAAUGGCCUACCAAGGCGGCGACGGGUAGCCGGCCUGGGAGGGUGGACGGCGACAUUGGGACUGGGAUACGGCCCAGACUGCUACGGGAGGCAGCAGUGGGGAAGAUUGCAGAAUGGGCGGAAGCCUGAUGCAGCGACGCAGCGUGGGGGAUGACGGCCUUCGGGUUGUAAACUCCUUUCGACCGCGAGGAAGCCACCUGGUUGGAAGGGUGGUGACGGUAGUGGUAGAAGAAGCACCGGCUAACUACGUG